AUGUUGGGCACGUCUCUAGGCCUCGGUGGCUUCCAGAAUCCUCCCAAGAGCUCAGCUCUGCAGAGUGCACAGGCGCCACCAUCCCUGGGAGGAGGCUGGACUCUGGGCCUCCCGUGCAGCUGCAGGGGGCCUGGGGAAGUGGGUGCCAGGAGCUUUUUGUUCGAGGCUGUGUCACUGUGUGGUGCAUUCGGCGGAGGCACCCACCUGACCAUCGCAGGUGGUCCCACGUCUGCACCCUCGGUCUCUCUCUUCCCGCCCUCCUCUGAGGAGCUCAGCGCCAACAAGGCCACAGUGGUGUGUCUCAUCAGUGACUUCUCCCCCAGCGGCUUGGAGGUGAUCUGGAAAGUAAAUGACGCUGUCACCAACGACCGCGUCCAGACCACCAGGCCCUCGAAACAGAGCAACGGCAAGUACGCGGCCAGCAGCUACCUGACACGGACCUCCACAGAGUGGAAAUCGUACAGCAGCGUCAGCUGCCAGGUCAAGCACCAAGGGAAAACCGUGGAGAAGAAACUGUCCCCCUCAGAGUGUCCUUAGGUCCCCGAGUCGCCCACACCCUCAGGGACCUGCUGUCACGGGACCCCUAAGGGGGUCGACCCUUCCCACUCCGACACCUCCUUCUCCCUCCGCCCAAAUCCUUCUCAAUAAAACAUCCUCCUUCUCAAUCAGA